UAAAGCCCAAUCAACAAUCGAGAAAUACUAGCAAACAUGUUGUCUGAUUGCUAAGAAAGGAAUCCAAAUUCAAUUAGAAAAAGUACAAAAUUGAAGAAGAGCAGAAUCUCACACUAGACGAUGAAUUCGAAACUGUUUGUUUGCCUUAUUCAAUAAAUUCGAAACUGUUUGUUUGCCUUAUUCAAUGAAAUGGAAAUGGAUGAAUUGAACCCUUCUACCAUCGGUACUUCCGUCGUCAUCACCUUUUUCCUACCUUAUACGUCGUCGUUUUCAUCCCCUUUCUUCCUCCUACGACCAUGAUUAUACCCUUUAAACCUCUCUUUGGAUCUCAACCGCAGAUCCUCUCUUUCUUCUUCAAUCCUUAUGGACCCUUCUACCUCUCGCCCUGCUGUAGUCUUUGACAAUGGAACCGGGUAUACAAAAAUUGGUUUUGCUGGAAAUGUGGAGCCAUGUUUCAUACUACCUACAGUUGUUGCAGCUAACGAAUCAUUUGUUAAUCAGCCUCGAGCUUUGACUAAGAACAGCAACUGGUUAGCCCAGCACAGUGCAGGGGUUAUGGCGGAUCUUGAUUUCUUUAUUGGGGAUGAGGCUUUGACCAGAUCUAAAUCUAGUAGCAAUUACAAUCUUACCUAUCCUAUUGAACAUGGACAAGUUGAUAACUGGGAUUCAAUGGAGCGGUUCUGGCAGCAGUGUAUAUUCAAUUACCUGCGUUGUGACCCUGAGGAUCACUAUUUUCUAUUGACUGAAAGCCCUAUGACUGCACCAGAGAACCGAGAAUAUACUGGUGAAAUUAUGUUUGAGACUUUCAAUGUUCCGGGACUUUAUAUAGCUGUGCAGCCGGUUCUUGCUUUGGCAGCUGGGUACACAGCAUCCAAGUGUGAGAUGACUGGAGUCGUAGUGGAUAUUGGAGAUGGUGCUACCCAUGUUGUACCUGUUGCUGAGGGUUAUGUUAUUGGGAGCAGCAUUAAGUCAAUUCCCGUUUCUGGGAAAGAUGUUACUCUCUUUGUUCAACAGCUUAUGAAGGAAAGGGGAGAACAUGUUCCAGCAGAAGAUUCCUUUGAAAUAGCACGAAAAGUGAAGGAAAUGCAUUGCUACACUUGUUCUGACAUUGUGAAGGAGUUCAAUAAGCAUGAUAAAGAGCCAGGGAAGUACAUCAAGCACUGGAGAGGUACAAAACCAAAGACAGGAGCACCUUAUUCAUGUGAUGUUGGCUAUGAGCGAUUUCUUGGUCCUGAGGUUUUCUUCAGUCCUGAGAUUUAUAAUAGCGAUUUUACGAACCCUUUACCUGAGGUGAUUGACAAAUGUAUUCAGUCUGCACCAAUAGACACAAGAAGAGCUUUAUAUAAGAAUAUUGUUUUAUCUGGAGGGUCAACCAUGUUCAAAGAUUUCCAUAGAAGAUUGCAGCGAGAUCUCAAAAAGAUAGUGGAUGACCGCAUUCUUGCAUCAGAUGCUCGGUUAGGUGGAAAUGUCAAAGCACAACCAGUUGAAGUGAAUGUGGUCAGCAAUCCUAUCCAGAGAUAUGCAGUUUGGUUUGGAGGUUCUGUACUGGCUUCAACUCCUGAAUUUUUUGCGGCUUGCCAUACAAAGGCAGAAUACGAGGAAUAUGGAGCUAGCAUAUGCCGGACAAAUCCCGUAUUCAAGGGAAUGUAUUGAUAUUGAACCAAUUCAAACUGAUGAUUGCAAAGGCAUUUAUUGUCAAGAUGUGCUCAUCCUAACAACCCAAUCCAUCCGUCCUUGGUGUCAGCUUCAAGCUGAAAUCCUACAUCCGCAGGUGCCUUCAGUUAUGUCAACCGAUCGGAGGCAGUGUAGGAUGGACCUGUAACGAAUGGGGUUCUUGUACUUUUCUCCAUUAGCAGCGCAUGAAUUCUAGCCUUGCCGGAAAAGUAGGCUUUCAUCGUCAGGACUGGUUGGCACUUCCAUUUUUCAGAUGGCUGAUCAGUUAGAUGACAUUUACUGAGCUGAAUGUUAUUUUCUGUGUGUUCAGUUCAGUCUAGGGAUUUAUCAGUUUAUUUUAGUAAGAGGGCAGGAUAAUAAGCUUCAAACAAAUUCAGAGGAUGAAAUGCUGCAGAAAAUAUAUCUAGCAAUGGUACUUGAGGAGAUAGCUAAAAAUGAAGAGGCGGCUUAUAGAUAAAGGUCUUGAAUACAAUGGCUGAGAAGUGGAGACGAAAACAAAAUAUUUUCAUUGCCAGGAUCAAUUCUAUUGAUGUACUGGAAGUAGAGGGGAGUCCAUUGUUGAACAUGAAAUUAUGAAGUCUACCAUACAAGAGUUCUAUUACAACUUGUUACGGAAUCUGCAAGUUGGAGACACGACUUCAAUAUACAGGAGGCUCCAGAAAUUAGCAACGAGGAACACGAGUUGUGACAGAGGAAAUUUGAGGAAGAAGGCUCAACACUUAACAGGAUCAGACUUUCUACAAGUGACAAGGUUCCUUGCCCUGAUGAUUUUGCAAUGACAUUUUACCAAUCCUUUGUGAGAUUUUGAAGAGCACUAGGCAUUAUUUACAUUUACUAAGUGUAUGAAAAAAAGCCUCAAUUGCCCUCAUUCCAAAGAAGAUUGGAGCAAUUGACCAAUGAGAUUAUAGACCUAUAAGCUUUAUGAGUGAGGUCUAUAAAUUAAUCAUAUGAUGGCUCUUCAUAAUAGGAAGACAUAUUAUGGUCUAUGCAUGUUGCAUUCAUUGCCAGUGAAUGUGUGGAUUCUAGAUUGAAAGAGGAGGACCUAGGCAUUAUGUGUAAGGUAUAGAAAAAGCAUAUGAUCGUGUCAAUUAGAUUAUAUGCUCAACAUCCUCAAGCAAAUGAGAUUUAGUGAGAGAUGGUUGAAAUGGAUUGA